rnacentral:rRNA from 1 species
UACGUAGGGGGCAAGCGUUGUCCGGAAUCAUUGGGCGUAAAGCGCGUGUAGGCGGUUCGGUAAGUCUGCUGUGAAAGUCCAGGGCUCAACCCUGGGAUGCCGGUGGAUACUGUCGGACUAGAGUACGGAAGAGGCGAGUGGAAUUCCCGGUGUAGCGGUGAAAUUCGUAGAUAUCGGGAGGAACACCAGUGGCGAAGGCGGCGAUCUGGGUCGAUACUGACGCUGAGGUGCGAAAGCGUGGGGAGCAAACAGG